rnacentral:lncRNA from 1 species
UUGGAGAAAAAAUUUCAUAAUUUUUGGAAACUUAAAACUAUUUUUAAACAAUUAAAAAUAUUCACAAAAUCUAUUAAAUCAUGAAAAAUAUUAAUAAUGAUCCAAACAAUAAUUUUAAUUCAAGGAUUUUAUUUAAAUUUUUUUGGUUAAAGUCUCCUAUUUUUUAGAUCAAUAUUAAAAUUAAUAUGAAUUACUGAAAAUAACACAAAUAAAAUGAAAAUUGGAAAAUCAGAAAAAACCUGGACCACUGGAUCUCCCUCAUUAAUUGAGUCAGCGCGCCACAAAC